AACUAACAAGGAUUCCCCUAGUAACUGCGAGUGAAGCGGGAAAAGCUCAAAUUUAAAAUCUGGCAGUCUUUGGCUGUCCGAGUUGUAAUCUAGAGAAGCAUUAUCCGCGCUGGACCGUGUACAAGUCUUCUGGAAUGGAGCGUCAUAGAGGGUGAGAAUCCCGUCUUUGACACGGACUACCAGGGCUAUGUGAUGUGCUCUCAAAGAGUCGAGUUGUUUGGGAAUGCAGCUCAAAAUGGGUGGUAAAUUCCAUCUAAAGCUAAAUAUUGGCGAGAGACCGAUAGCGAACAAGUACCGUGAGGGAAAGAUGAAAAGAACUUUGGAAAGAGAGUUAAACAGUACGUGAAAUUGCUGAAAGGGAAACGCUUGAAGUCAGUCGCGUUGGCCAGGGAUCAACCUUGCUUUUUUUGCUUGGCUUACUUUCUGGUUGACGGGUCAGCAUCAAUUUUGACUGGUGGAAAAAGUUCAAGGGAAUGUGGCAUCUUUGGAUGUGUUAUAGCCUUUGUUCACAUACAUCGGUUGGGAUUGAGGAACUCAGCACGCCGAAAGGCCGGGUUUUAAACCACGUACGUGCUUAGGAUGCUGGCAUAAUGGCUUUAAUCGACCCGUCUUGAAACACGGACCAAGGAGUCUAACAUGCCUGCGAGUGUUUGGGUGGAAAACCCAAGUGCGUAAUGAAAGUGAAGGUUGAGAUCCCUGUCGUGGGGAGCAUUGACGCCCAGAUCUGACCUUUUGUGACGAUUCUGCGGUAGAGCAUGUAUGUUGGGACCCGAAAGAUGGUGAACUAUGCCUGAAUAGGGUGAAGCCAGAGGAAACUCUGGUGGAGGCUCGUAGCGAUUCUGACGUGCAAAUCGAUCGUCAAAUUUGGGUAUAGGGGCGAAAGACUAAUCGAACCAUCUAGUAGCUGGUC
rnacentral:rRNA from 1 species